rnacentral:rRNA from 1 species
UACGGAGGGUGCGAGCGUUGUCCGGAAUCACUGGGCUUACAGGGUGCGUAGGCGGCUUGUCAAGUAGGGUGUGAAAGCCCCCGGCUCAACCGGGGAAUUGCGCCCUAAACUGGCGAGCUGGAGUGAGAUAGGGGUGUGUGGAACUUCCGGUGGAGCGGUGAAAUGUGUUGAUAUCGGAAGGAACGCCGGUGGCGAAAGCGACACACUGGAUCUUGUCUGACGCUGAGGCACGAAAGCCAGGGGAGCGAACGGG